UGGGAAUUUUGGACAAUGGGCGCAAGCCUGAUCCAGCCAUGCCGCGUGCGGGAAGAAGGCCUUCGGGUUGUAAACCGCUUUUGUCAGGGAAGAAAUCUUCUGAGUUAAUACCUCGGGAGGAUGACGGUACCUGAAGAAUAAGCACCGGCUAACUACGUGCCAGCAGCCGCGGUAAUACGUAGGGUGCAAGCGUUAAUCGGAAUUACUGGGCGUAAAGCGUGCGCAGGCGGUUUUGUAAGACAGAGGUGAAAUCCCCGGGCUAACCUGGGAACUGCCUUUGUGACNGCAAGGCUUGAGUGCGGCAGAGGGGAUGGAAUUCCGCNUGUAGCAGUGAAAUGCGUAGAUAUGCGGAGGAACACCGAUGG
rnacentral:rRNA from 1 species